CAACUAGAUUCGGAUUUGAUGUCCGUUGUUGGAUCGAGACAUUAAAUAAUGACCUACCAUCUUAGGUAUAAAUUCCCUACUUCCCAACCUUGUUUUUUAAACCUAACCCUAGUCUUCUCCCUGACACGCCGAUUUUCUCCCUAUAUCGUUUUUUCCAUCCCAUCCUACUCCGCCUAUAUUCAUCCGUCUGGGUUGAUUUUCUUUAUAUUUUUCUCAUGUUCCGGGGAUAUUAUUUAUGUGAAACAGGUGUGCUAUUAUACCAAAUGCGAUGUUUGUGAGUAUGGCUUACAUGGAGGUGAAUCCAUUGCUGAUUUGACUCGAUUAUGAUAUAUAAUAAAGG